UGUCAAGUUAAACCUGUGGUCCAGCGGUUGCCGAGCGUUCGGGAGGUGGCGGAGAGUUUUCAAAGUGGUGAAAAUGAUGUUCUGAAGUCUUUUAUGGACCCAGAAGAAAGUUCUUUUCAGGACAGUGGGACCAAUUUUGUUACCAGUAAUAUGAAAAACUCUGAUUUUAGCCCGGAAAAGAAAAAGAGGGUUAAAAUACCAGCGAGGAGACUUCGUGAGGUAGUUUCUCAAAAUCAGGGAGAUAAUUUGGCUUUGCUGAAAGACGAGUCGUCCCGUGUUCCUCCAGCGUUGUCUGCAAAUAAACGUCUUACUGUUAGAACGGGGACUAACGCCAAUGGAACAUUACGUGGUUCAUCAGACUUAACUUUUGCAAGGAAUUAUCAGCAUCAAUUAGAAAAUUUCAGUAAUUUUUCCAAAGAUGUUGCAGUGCAAAGGUUGCCUUUGGAUAAAAUGGAAGAAAGCAACAGACAAAAAGCAAAUGACAUCUUUAUUUCUCAGUAUACAAUGGGACAGAAAGAUGCCGUACGGGCAACUUUGAAGCAAAAAACUCAAACUAUGCCUGCUUUUAAGGAAGUAAAGUUACAGCUUUUAGAAGAUGCAGGCACAGAAAAGGAUUCUGUUACUCCAGAGACUAGAACUUCACCCAGUGGAAUUGAUUCAGUUACAACUGUGGCUGCAGCAACUGCUGCUGCCAUUGCAACAGCAGCUCCACUUAUAAAAGUGCAGAGUGAGUUGGAAGCAAAAGUGAAUUCUGUUACAGAAUUGCUCAAUAAGUUACAGGAGACUGAUAAGCAGUUACAGCGUGUUACCGAACAGCAAACAAAUAUUCAACACACACAGGAGAAACUACACUGUCAUGAUCAUGAAAAGCAAAUGAAUGUGUUUAUGGAGCAGCACAUUAGGCAUCUUGAAAAAUUACAACAACAGCAAAUAGAUAUUCAGACUCAUUUCAUUAGUGCUGCACUCAAGUCUAGUAGUUUUCAGCCUGUCACCAUGCCUACUGCUGGAGCAGUGGAAAAGUAUUCUGUAAAACCCGACCUUUCUAAUCUUAGUAGCUGUAAUCUGUCUUCAUACAACACAUUUUCUUCCAAACAAGCAUCUUCAAGAGAGGUUGAAGAAAAGGGUUUUGAUAAACAGAAAUCUCCGUUGGAGACACCAGCACCUCGCAGGUUUGCUCCUAUACCUGUUUCAAAGGAUGAUAAAAUAUCAAAGAGGGAAAAUCCUAUGGAAGAAAAAGAAAACAUGGACAUGUUGGGUAAUACAGGAAAUGUGAGACUGUUGGAACAAAUUUUGAAUAAUCAUGAUUCUUUGACAAGAAAAAGUGAAUCUUCUGACAAAACCUCACUAAGUAGGUCAAAAAUAGGAUGGAACCCUGAGAAGAAAGACAGCAUUGGCACUCUAUCCUCUCAAAGAUUUCCUUCCUAUGAAGAGCUAGGCAUAGCUAAGGUAACUUUGCAGAAGUCUGAUGAUGUUCUUCAUGAUCUUGGCCAAAAGAAGAAAGAAACAAGUGGCAUACUCCAGCCAAAAGAUUCUUUGACUAUGUCACAGCUUGCCGAUUUUCCACAGAAUUCCACUAAGCUUCAACCAACCAGUAAGAGAUCUGUUUUGAAAGAUGCUGAGAAGAUUCUGAGAGGAGUACAAAACAAUAAAAGAUUGCUUGAAGAAAACCUGGAAGCUAUUAUUCGUGCAAAGGAUGGAGCUGCCAUGUAUUCUUUUAUUAAUGCUUUAUCUACCAACAAAGAGAUGUUAGAGAAAAUUCGAAUCAGAAAGACUGUAGAUGAGUGGAUUAAAACUAUUUCCGCAGAAAUUCAGGAUGAACUGGAAAGAAAGGAUCAUGAACAAAAGAGACUUGAUCAGAAGAAUCAAAGAACCAAGAAAGCUCAGAAUAUGAGUAGAGAUAUUAAAACAUACACACAAGAAAAAACCAUAAAAAAUUCUGUAAAUCCAAGAAAAUAUUCUCAAAGACAAAUGGAGGAGCCUUUUAGAAAUCCAUAUAUAAGGAACAUGCCAGCUUCAAGUUUACAGAAAGACAGAAAAGAAGGAUUUUGGAAAGGAGCUCCAGGUACACAAGAUGAGGACUAUAUGAUACAAAUUUAUGGAAAACCAGUUUAUCAAGGCCAUCGCAGCACUCUUAAGAAAGGUCCAUAUCUCAGAUUUAAUUCUCCAUCUCCCAAGUCCAAACCACAGAGACCAAAAGUAAUAGAACGUGUGAAAGGCACUAAAGUCAAGUCAAUAAGAACACAAACUGAUUCUUAUGCAACAAAACCUAAGAAGAUAGAUUCUAAACUUCAACAUUCUGUUACUGUGCCUCCUGGUGAUCAACAGUACUUGUUCAGCCCAAGCAGAGAAAUACCUACUCUUUCAGGUACACUGGAAGGUCAUCUGAUUCCUAUGGCAAUUCUUUUAGGACAAACACAAAGUAAUAGUGAUUCCAUGCCACCUGCAGGAGUAAUUAUAAACAAGCCAUACCCUAUAACAGUGACUGCUUCCAUUCCUCCAUCAUCUCGAAAAACAGAAACUGGAGUAAAGAAACCUAACAUUGCAGUUGUAGAAAUGAAGUCUGAAAAAAAGGAUCCCCCUCAGCUCACUGUACAGGUAUUACCCAGUGUAGAUAUUGACAGCUUUUCAAAUGGUAGUGCUGUUUCCGGUCCUUCCCUGCCUAAUCCCAAAGAAACAUCUCCUUUGAAAACAUGGAUACAGACUCCAGAAUUUAUGACAUUAGAAGACGAAGAAGACAUGAAGUUUCCAGGAACAAAUUUUGAUGAAGUAAUUGAUGUUAUACAGGAAGAGGAAAAAUGUGAUGAAAUUCCAGAAUACUCUGAACCAAUUUUGGAGUUUAAUAGAGGUGUUAAAGCUGUUUCUACAAAAUAUAAUGGUCCCCCAUUUCCACCAGUUGCUUCUGUUCUUCAGCCCACUUCUGAUACUCUGGAUAAAGUGAUUCAGAAGAAAGAAACAUUGGAAAAUAAUUUAAUUCAGUGGGUAGAACAAGAAAUAAUGUCAAGAAUUAUCUCUGGGCUCUUUCCAAUCCAGCAACAGGCUGUAGCUAAUGCCAGUGUUUCAGUCAGCGAGACAAGUGAACCAUUGACUUCUGACAUUGUGGAAGGAACAAGCUAUGGUGCCCUCCAGCUUUUUGUUGAUGCUGGGGUUCCUGUUAAUUCAGACAUGAUCACCCAUUUUGUGAAUGAAGCUCUGGCUGAGACUAUUGCUGUCAUGCUGGGUGAUGGAGAAACACAGAAGCAAGAUCCUGUUAGUACAAGUGUUCCUGGGGUUGUUUCAGCAAGUAAAGUACACUGGCCGGAAAGAAUGUGUACCCCAGUGGCUACCCCAGAGCCAACUCCUCCUCCCUCCCCUUCAUCUCCUUCUAAGGAGUAUAUAUUGGUGAAAACUCCAGAUUCUUCCCCCUGUGAUUCAGAUCAUGAUAUAGCUGUUCCUGUGGCAGAAAUACUUGCUGAAAAAGUAUCUGUAGGAGUUGAUAUGCCUGCCAUCACACUUUUUAACACUCCAACAAUUACCCCUGCUACUACACCUCCUCCUGCAGCAGCUAUUACUCCAACUUUGUCAGAGAUUUCCAUUGACAAAUUGAAGAAAUCAAGCCCAGAGCUUCCCAAGCCAUGGAGUGAUGGAGACCUGCCACUGGAAGAAGAGAAUCCUAACUCUCUUCACGAAGAACUUCACCCAAGGGCUAUUGUAAUGUCUGUGGCGAAGGAUGAAGAACCUGACAGCAGGGAUCUCCCUAGUCAGCCUGUACUUCCAAAGCCAGUUCCCUUUACUCCACUCCCUGCUGGUGCCACAGCCCCUUCCCCCACACAGAUGCCAAGUUCUGAUUCAUCCAUUAUGGAGAGUACCUUGAGCUUCACUGAAACUGAAACUUUAGAUCGACCCAUCUCUGAAGGAGAGAUUUUGCUAAAUUAUGGUCAAAAACUGGCUAUCAAGAUUUUAGGAGAUGGAAGACAAUAUCUGACAAAUUUAAAUGACAGCUUGUCCAGCACUCUGCAUGAUGCCCUAGAAAUGGAAGAUGAUCCUCCCAGUGAAGGCCAAGUGACUAGGGUGCCCAGUAAAAAAUUUCCUGCAAAUGCAAUUCUUUGUUUUCCAGCUAAACAAAACCAGGAACCAGUUUUACAGCAAGCAGCCUAUCAUUCAGAGGACUUGGAAAAUAGUGUGGGUGAACUUAGUGAAGGACAAAGACCCAGGUGGACAGCAGUAACAGAAAACAUUUUAAUGGAACAUUCUGUUUAUUUGCAGCAGCCUGUCACUAAGUCAGAGUCUUUGGAUCAAAACAGUGCUCCUAAGCCAUUAGCUCAGCAAUUUGACACAGUUACAGGUGGUGUUUGUGAAGAUUCAUGUGCUAGUCAUGGUCCAAUGAGUUUGGGAGAAUUGGAGUUGCAGCAGAAUACUGACUUUGCCCCUCCCACUACAUUUCUAAUGGCACAAGAAAAUGAUGAGAAGUCAGUCGCUGCUGAAGAUUUUCCUCAGUACCAACAAAAGCAAGAUCAAGAUGUUAAACAAGAAGAACACAAGCCAGUACAAAGUCAUCUAAUACGUGAAAGAAAUAAAUCUGAUAUUUCACUUACACAGUCACAAGCUUCACCCGGUGAUACUGAUAGGACACAAAUAGAGCCCAAUCUAUACCUUGCAUCUGUAUUUUCAGGUGGUAAAGCCGUACCGUUCUUCACUUCGCAGACGCUUCCUGCUAAGAUGUCCGUGACACUGCCCUCAGCCAACCUGGAGGACUGCUCUCAGUCUCCGAGCAUCAGCACCGUCCAGGGGGACCCAGAGUCCUCAGCAGCAGAUACCUUCUGAUUGGUCAGGGAAAACCUGCACAUCACUGGUACGGCAACUGUGAAGUCCUAUUUCUCUGGUGGAAAAUCAUCUCUCAGACUAUCUGGUCUUUGAGCAUACUCAGAAAACUUAAAUAUAUAAAGUUAAAAAGAGAGAAAAAGCAUGACCUUGUAAUCAAGCACAUGUAAGUUCUGAUGUAUUUCUUUACCUCUGCUCUGUGGUGGGGAGCAUAUUAAACUCCUCCUCCAUGUUUACCUAGGCAAUGGGUUUAAUACUUAUUUUACAGGGUAAUGGAAAUUAUUGAUAAUAUUGGGAUGGUGCACACACAGUGCUUGGCACCAGAUAAUUAUUUUAGAAAUGGAAUGUGUUCACUGUCUUGUAGGAUUUAAGCGUCUUACACUUAGGGUAACUAUAUGAGAGUAAGGGUGCCCAAUAUUAGCCAAAAUAAUAAUAAUAAUAAUAAUAAUGAACCUC